GCGUUAUCCUGAUUUUAAAACCCUUACAUAUUUCUUCUUUCUUCCUGAAUUCCCAUAAACAUCAAAAGAGCCCGAAUUAGAUCACUGGGGUUCAAGAAAUUUCGUUGCUUGAGAAAUUAAACGUAUCUGUAUACAUACAUCGUAUAUACAAAUACAUGGAGAGAAUUUGAAGAGAGUUGGAGAACUUGAUAGCUGCUUCGUCAAAUAGUUGCAAGUACUCGAUGGGUUUGGCGAAAAGAAGAUGAGGAAGUGGUGGAUGGGCGUCCAUCAACUUUGUAAAAUUGAGAAAAGAAUACAGAGUGAGAGCAUUGUGUUUAUGAGAGAGAGAGAGAGAGAGAGAGAGAGAGAGAGGGAAUAUACUCAUACAUAGAGAGCAUGGUGAAGGCAGGGUCAGGUACUCAAACUGUUAUAGCCCAAACCAUUAUUUGUAUGUUUUCUUGAAAGGUUCGUUUCCGAAAAUUUGCUUGGAAACCAAACAAGUUUUCAAUAAACAGAAAACAGAAAACUAAACAAAACAAGGGAAUUAGUAUUUUACUCGAUGAAUACACCUAAUCGCAAAGAGAAAUAUACUUGCAGCGGUUGGUUUGGUGUUUCUGGUAAUAGGUCGAGGAUAUGGAUAUGUGAAAGAAACUCAUCCCAAAGUCAAUUCAGUUUUGUAAACAAUAGUAAAAAAAAAAAAGAGAUGAAAAAAAUUAGAAUAUCAUAAUUUCUCAAACCAGAAACUAAACAAAACAAGGGAAUGAGUAUUGUACUCAAUGAAUACACCUUAUCGCAAGAAGAAGUACUUUCAGUAGUUUUAUGUUUCUGAUAAUCGAUAGAGGAUAUGUGAAAGAAACAGAUCCCAAAGUCAAUCCAGUUUUGUAAACAAUAGCCAAAACAGAAGAAAAAAAUCAGAAUCUCCAAAUUUCUCAAACUAGAAACUAAACAAAAAAAUGGAAUCAGUAUUUUAAUACACCUAAUCGCAAGAAGAAAUACUUACAGUGGUUUGAUGUUUCUGGUAAUUGAUCGAGGAUACGUGAGAGAAACAGAUCCCAAAGUCAAUACAAAGAACCUUCAACAUUAUCAACAUUAGUUUCUUGCAUUAUCUUACAGACCAAAAAUGACGAAUUGAAGGGAAAUUGAAAAAAGAAGAUGAAAGAAUGUGAGUACCUCCAAAUAUUUGUGCGCAUUGGAAUUUGGCGAUUUGCACUCUCUCUCUCUAAACCCUAAUGUACAGAGGGAGCAUUACCAUCCCCUCUCCGUCUCUCUCGCAUGCUCCCUUUCGCCCUCUCUCUCUCACACGUUCCGCCCUCCCACUCUGUCUCUCUGCCUCACCCACUGGAAACGCUAAUCGGCUGAUGUGUAUAAUGUAUAUAUAAAUAGCCACACGGCACAUACGUCCAACAAACAAAAGAUUUAUUUUUAUACUUCCCCUUUUCCAAUUCCAAACAAACAGCUCUCUCC
rnacentral:lncRNA from 1 species